rnacentral:piRNA from 1 species
CCACUACUAUCCAUAGCAUUUUGAUCAGCAC